rnacentral:rRNA from 1 species
GAUGAACGCUGGCGGCGUGCCUAAUACAUGUAAGUCGAGCGAACGGACGAGAAGCUUGCUUCUCUGAUGUUAGCGGCGGACGGGUGAGUAACACGUGGAUAACCUACCUAUAAGACUGGGAUAACUUCGGGAAACCGUAGCUAAUACCGGAUAAUAUUUUGAACCGCAUGGUUCAAAAGUGAAAGACGGUCUUGCUGUCACUUAUAGAUGGAUCCGCGCUGCAUUAGCUAGUUGGUAAGGUAACGGCUUACCAAGGCAACGAUGCAUAGCCGACCUGAGAGGGUGAUCGGCCACACUGGAACUGAGACACGGUCCAGACUCCUACGGGAGGCAGCAGUAGGGAAUCUUCCGCAAUGGGCGAAAGCCUGACGGAGCAACGCCGCGUGAGUGAUGAAGGUCUUCGGAUCGUAAAACUCUGUUAUUAGGGAAGAACAUAUGUGUAAGUAACUGUGCACAUCUUGACGGUACCUAAUCAGAAAGACACGGCUAACUACGUG